ensembl:snRNA U6 U6 spliceosomal RNA
GUGCUUAUUUCGGCAGCAUAUGGACUAAGAUUGGACUGAUACAGACGUUAGUCUAGCUUCUGCAUAAGAAUGACACACAAGUUUGUGAAGCGUUUUCUAUUUUU